UAUCUGUUAAGUAAAGAUCUGUUAUAGUAUAAUUUAUAAGAGAUUAUUCUAUAUGAUCCUAUCAGCAAAUGUAUUUUCUGUAACAAAAAAAAGCACAAUCAUCUGAUCCAGUUAUUGUAGCACCAAAAACUCCAAGCAGACUUCAGGAGCAUAUAAACAGCCAGAGAGAACUUGAGAUCUGUAUUCUUAAUGCACAUACUCUGAUCAUUUUACCCAGAUAACUUAACCUAUUCACUUUUCUAUUUUAUUUUUUUUCUAUGGGCAGGAUCUACGUCUACAAGCUUGUGAAACACCGCCCAGCAGUUAAUACCUGCAGCACUCCCCUUAGUUUUCAGCAUGACUACUGACAAGGAAUGAAACAUCUACAGGGCAGAAAGCUGUAAGAGCUAACUAACCAGACCUAGAUCUCUGUGCUGAAAUUCAUUGUGUACGGGACGCCUUCAGCCUGGCUCACUCCUGCUCCUCUCUGCUCGUCAGCCCGCGCAGGAGGAGCAGCAUCCCGGAGCUGUACGCUGCCGUCUGCGCACUGCGCUGCACCACUUCAAAUGAAAGCAGUAAUCCCCGUGUUUACUUCUGGCUAACCGAGGCUGCCUUUUAUGUCAGGGAUCGCGCUUGAGAAAUGAUGUAACCCAACAGCCACGCUUAACGAAAACAAACAAACAGCGAUUCCCCAGAUGUGAUCCAAAGGGAACUGUUUAGAUAAAACCCAGUGUACCCUAAUUGAAAAACAGCAAAGAUAAAACGCUCAGCAAGUUUUACAAUAGGAAUUUAAAAUUAAUCCCAGAUAAAUUAAAUACUUGUGCAUGCUUUGAUACCUCCCCCUCCUGCAGCGACAUGCUUUAACUUUUGACGGGUCAGGAAAACCCACUGACAUAAAGUCAAAACCCAGCGCGCGUACAGCUUUCCUCCUGCAACCUUUUUUUUUCAGUAGCCGGGAGCAAAAGCAAAGGGCCAAACGCGGCCCGCAUCCCAGCACAGCGGGCGGCGGACACUACUUCCGCGACGGCAAAGGCCUCUGCAGAGCCCCCUGGCCCCGCCGCCCGGCUCCCGCCCGUGCGCCCUGCUCCCCGCUCCCCGCCGUGCCUUCGCCGUGGGUCGCGGUGCUCUGCGCCGCUCCCUGCCCCGCAGCCCCGCGCCGAGCCGGCUCCUAGCGCGCGCCGCGGCCGCAGAACGCCCCGGAACGCAAAGGGCGGGCUGCGCGCCGCGGGGGAACGGGGCCGGAAGGACGUGGCGGCAGCGCGGUUUGGCGGGAAACGGUUGCUAGGGGCCCUUAGCAACGGCACGCGCCGGCCUGCAGCGCGCGGCCUUUCGCCCUCAGCUCCUGGAACCUUUAGCGUUUCCUGCCCGGUACUUUUUUUUUCACCGAGUGGCAUUCUGGUAAGAACAGUUCUUACUGUAUGUCAGUAG
rnacentral:lncRNA from 1 species